GCUGGGUUUGGUGGCACACUCUUGUAAUCCCAGCUACUCCAGAGGCUGAAGCAGGACCCCAGGAGUUCUGGCCUGUAGUGCAGUAUGCCUAGCUGCUUUCCACAUUAACUUCAUCAUCAAUAUGACGAUCUCUGGGAGCAGAAUGGAGGGCUGCCUAAGGUGGGGUGAACUGUCCCAGAAACAGCAGGUUAAAACUCAUGCACUGAUCAAUAGUGGGAUUGCGCCUAUGAAUAGACACUGCUCUCCAGCCUAGGCAGCAUAGCA
rnacentral:SRP_RNA from 1 species